GACACCUCAAGAACAUCAGAGAAUAACAGCAGGGAAAUGAUUUACACUUUAAUGGUUAAUGACAAACCUAUGAUAAUUUUGACUUAAAUUCCCUUUAACAUUUUCUGAAUGCCAUACCCCUAUGCUCAGAAAAAGUAUCUGAAUGCAUGCAUUACAGGGCUUUUUCUUCAUUUGAAAAAUUAUUUUAUUAUUCACCUCUAAUUUUUUAUUUUAACACUCUAAAAUAUUCUACUUAGUAAUUGACUUAGGAUGCUGCAUUAUGUGAAGUGAUGAACUUCUUGGUUCUGAUCAAGAAUGUACACUGUAUUUCAAUGUGUUUUCUUACAUAUGAAAAAUGCAGUAUGUUCUCUCUGAAUAUCAAAUGUGUUCUGUUAUGUGUCUGUUUUCAAUUAUUUAACAUUAAGAAGGCUAAGUAUACUAUUAUAGGUUAUAAAUUUAUAAAAGUUCAUUUGCUUUUCUUAUAUUUAUAUGUGAUAUAUUUCCAAAUAAUAAAAUUUACUGUCAUGG
rnacentral:sRNA from 1 species